GUGCUGAUAGCUGUGUGUGGGGUGCUUUUGUGAAGGUGGGAUAAUUGGCUCUGGAGUGGUCUGUCAGCUUAGCAACAAGGAAGAAGCUGGGCUCAGUGUCUGCUUCUAGGCUUUGCUUUGCCCAGGUCUUUCAGUAUCCCAAAGUCUAAAGGCUUGCUGGAGAAGGCUGCUAGCAGAAUUAUUGCUGUACAUCUCAAUCAUGGGAAACGAAAUCAGUCACAGGAGGUAUUGCUGUAGAAAGUCCAAGAAUUUUAAAAGGCAGGCAACUGAGCAAGGAAAUGCAGAAGGUGAUCUCCCUGUUGUCCCGAAGGCUCUGGGGGCUGUGCUGUGGAGCAGUCUUCCAAAGGAGAAAUCACAAGAUAAUGCUACAAGGACACAGAAUGAAGACGUUGAAAAUGAAAUAGCCUCAUCUCUAGAACACCUGCAGAAGUCUGUGGAACAGAUAGCAGUGCAAACCACAGAGCUACAAGACCUUGGUGAGAUCCAGCCUUAUGCAGAAGAGACUGAAACCAAGCCUGCUACAAUGAUGAGUCCAGACACGCUGUGUGCUCCAGCUCAGGAAAGAGCUGCAAUGCCUCAGCCAGCUUCAGGAGACACAGGAGUAACAGAACCUGAUGUGCAUCUGCAGGCUGCUGUAGAGACAGGAGCUAGAGAUGUGAAAGAUGUGGUGACUGCCCAGGCACCAGUAGAAGGAAACUCAGUGGUAUGCAAGAGACCACGUGGCAAGAAGUGCAAGCCAAGCCCUCUCUGCAGGUGGCUGAAGAAACUCAAGUCCUCUGCUUAAAAAAGCUAAGGCCAAGCCUGAUGUAAUAACCAGGCAAGAGAGAGGCUUCCUGGGGACUGUGAAAGGACUACCAAUUGCCCUGUGUGGUACCCUCAAAAAAAAAAAGACUAAUAAGAAGGGAAGCCUGACUUGAUAGGCAGAAAAUCAUUUUUUUGUCAUCUUCAACCUGGCUGUCUGCUGCAUAGUUCUGGCUGUCUUACAGGCCUGGGUGUAGUACAGAGAGCUUCCAACCUGGGUGGGGUAGAAGUGGAAAACUGGAUGGCUCUGUUCCCUUAGAAAGCAACUUGUGAGAUGUUUGGCUUGCCUUUCUUUCUUGCUCACUGGGGCUUGGCUUUAAUAGCUUUCUUUUUGAACUUAUCCAAAAGUGCAGUGUACAAAUUUGUAUCUUCCUAGUGCUUCCCACCACUAUUUGCCUUCCUUUCCCCUGCUUUUAAUAACUUGCUCUGCCUGACAGACCAAGCAAGUGCAUUAGUACUAUUGAACUAAAUAAAUACAUUAUAAAAACACUAGAUGUUUACAAAUGCAUAAUGUUAAUAGUGGGUGUUGUGUGGGAGGGUUGGUAAACAAGGGGCUCUUGUUUUGCUACUCGAAUUGAUUGCUUUGUGUAUAUUUUUAUGUUUGAAAGUCAAUAAAAGCUAGUUUUAUUGCCUCAAA